GCUGCUCGGAACCCGAGGCCCAGACACGCUGAUCUCCUCUCAGCCUUCACGACUCCGGAGAAACCAAUCCAAGUCUGUCCGACUAAUCCAAGCAGCAUCCCGGUGAAUCUCUUCCAAAGCCUCCACAUCCCUCCUACAAAGGAGAGACCGGAACUGUAUGCAGGUCCUAACUAGAACUCAAUACCUCGAUGAAUACAGAUUACGUAUGGCAUUGAACUGCUGCUGCUAAGUUAACAAAUCUCA